AUUAUUUUAGUAUAGAUAUAUUACAACAUAAUUUCAUUAUGGGAAGGCCCUUAGGGCAAAU
rnacentral:tRNA from 1 species